AGCGGCGUAGCGCAGUGGUUAAGGUGUGGGGCGUAUAACCUGAGGGUGGCAGGUUUGAUUACUGCUGUCACUG